GUUUGAUCCUGGCUCAGGACGAACGCUGGCGGCGUGCCUAAUACAUGCAAGUCGAGCGGACAGAUGGGAGCUUGCUCCCUGAUGUUAGCGGCGGACGGGUGAGUAACACGUGGGUAACCUGCCUGUAGACUGGGAUAACUCCGGGAAACCGGGGCUAAUACCGGAUGGUUGUUUGAACCGCAUGGUUCAAACAUAAAAGGUGGCUUCGGCUACCACUUACAGAUGGACCCGCGGCGCAUUAGCUAGUUGGUGAGUAAUGGCUCACCAAGGCAACGAUGCGUAGCCGACCUGAGAGGGUGAUCGGCCACACUGGGACUGAGACACGGCCCAGACUCCUACGGGAGGCAGCAGUAGGGAAUCUUCCGCAAUGGACGAAAGUCUACGGAGCAACGCCGCGUGAGUGAUGAAGGUUUUCGGAUCGUAAAGCUCUGUUGUUAGGGAAGAACAAGUACCGUUCGAAUAGGGCGGUACCUUGACGGUACCUAACCAGAAAGCCACGGCUAACUACUGCCAGCAGCCGCGGUAAUACGUAGGUGGCAAGCGUUGUCCGGAAUUAUUGGGCGUAAAGGGCUCGCAGGCGGUUUCUUAAGUCUGAUGUGAAAGCCCCCGGCUCAACCGGGGAGGGUCAUUGGAAAUGGGGAACUUGAGUGCAGAAGAGGAGAGUGGAAUUCCACGUGUAGCGGUGAAAUGCGUAGAGAUGUGGAGGAACACCAGUGGCGAAGGCGACUCUCUGGUCUGUAACUGACGCUGAGGAGCGAAAGCGUGGGGAGCGAACAGGAUAGAUACCCUGGUAGUCCACGCCGUAAACGAUGAGUGCUAAGUGUUAGGGGGUUUCCGCCCCUUAGUGCUGCAGCUAACGCAUUAAGCACUCCGCCUGGGGAGUACGGUCGCAAGACUGAAACUCAAGGAAUUGACGGGGGCCCGCACAAGCGGUGGAGCAUGUGGUUUAAUUGCGAAGCAACGCGAAGAACCUUACCAGGUCUUGACAUCCUCUGACAAUCCUAGAGAUAGGACGUCCCCUUCGGGGGCAGAGGACAGGUGGUGCAUGGUUGUCGUCAGCUCGUGUCGUGAGAUGUUGGGUUAAGUCCCGCAACGAGCGCAACCCUUGAUCUUAGUUGCCAGCAUUCAGUUGGGCACUCUAAGGUGACUGCCGGUGACAACCGGAGGAAGGUGGGGAUGACGUCAAAUCAUCAUGCCCCUUAUGACCUGGGCUACACACGUGCUACAAUGGACAGAACAAAGGGCAGCGAAACCGCGAGGUUAAGCCAAUCCCACAAAUCUGUUCUCGUUCGGAUCGCAGUCUGCAACUCGACUGCGUGAAGCUGGAAUCACUAGUAAUCGCGGAUCACAUGCCGCGGUGAAUACGUUCCCGGGCC
rnacentral:rRNA from 1 species